CCCGUCCGCAAUUCCAACUUCUCGCCUUAUAUAUCGAUUUCUUUCUUGCAAAUCCAGUACCCAACAUCUUCUAACGCCUUCAGCUUAAGGCUUCAGCCUUCCUCAUCUUUAUAUCUUCUUCUUCUUCUUCUUCAACAAUGGCAAGCACUGUUUUUGCUAAUUCACCACUGCCUUUUUCUUCUACACCUCCUAGUUCUCUACCCACUUUUAAUGCAUUUCCUCUCUCUCGAAUUUCUUUUCCCAAUUCUAGAUCUCAUUUCCUUUC
rnacentral:misc_RNA from 1 species